UACGGAGGGGGCUAGCGUUGUUCGGAAUUAUUGGGCGUAAAGAGCUCGUAGGCGGUCUGUUACGUCUGCUGUGAAAACCCAGGGCUUAACCCUGGGCUUGCAGUGGAUACGGGCAGACUAGAGGCAGGUAGGGGAGAAUGGAAUUCCCGGUGUAGCGGUGAAAUGCGCAGAUAUCGGGAGGAACACCGGUGGCGAAGGCGGUUCUCUGGGCCUGACCUGACGCUGAGGAGCGAAAGCGUGGGGAGCGAACAGG
rnacentral:rRNA from 1 species